GACCGCUCCGGUGGCCUAGUAGUUAGAGCGUCUGCCUUAGAUGCGGGAGGUCGCGGGUUCAAACCCCGGCUGAGUCA